CUUCUCUAUCAACUCAAGCUUCGAUUUGUUUUCUUCAGUUUCGGCUGCUUCGUCCUCCUUGUUCGGCCCCGAAGAAAGAGCCAACCAGCCUAGGAGGCCCGCCCAGCCUCCUAGCGCCCGCCUAGCCGCCUAGCCGCCGGCCUAGGCCGAUUUUUCGAAAACAGAGAUUGACUGAAAGUCUGAAACCCGAAAUUGAAAAAGUUUAGCUGCAAAUUUGAGCUUGAGAUUGAGAUUGGGAAGCCGAAGCAAGCACAAGUCAGGUCCAUAGAUGAAGAGAUCAUUAGAUUCUUAAUUCAUCUAAUUCCAUUUGCUGACUUGGUGUCUGUCUUCAUUCAGUGGAAGGAAAUGAUGAAGCUAUCCUAUCAUGGAGUAUCUACGGUCUUGCCAAUAACAAGAUUUUGACAUUGAUGGUUCUUCUUGGUUGGACUGCUUUUCAUUCUUUGGAUAUUGCAUUUUUUGGUUGGACUACCUAUCUUCGAAAAUGGAGGGGCAGAAGAGUACAAAAUCAAAUAGCUUACCAUAUUUUUGUUGCUGGUUCUUCCUCACAUAUAAUAGCAGGGUUAGGCCUAGGAUCAGCAGUCCAGUAGACAACACAGUACUGGUUACUAUGAUCUUUGUAUUGUGUCCUUGAUCUAGGAAUGAAGUAUUUGAAAGCAGAAGACUGAGGAGUCAGAAAUUCAUAAAGAAGAAAAUCUUUACUUUUUAUCAUCCAACAAACAAUUCAUGCUAGUUUCUGAGACAAUUCCAAAGAAUUAUUUUUCUAAUAAUGUCAAAAGUUUUCUGGCUC